ensembl:lncRNA
AAGGCUUAAAGAGGCAGCCUGAGCAUAAGACGCACUAGAGCAUCUGACUCUCAGACUUGGCUUUGCCACUAGCGGGCUGUGUGAGUUUGGGCAAACCCCUUGGAAUCUCUGGGUCUCAGAGGUGAUCUUAACCCAAGGAUAGUCAGCUCCCUGGAAUCAUAUGCAAAAUCAAGCAGAAGUGUAUUUUUCUGGGGUAGAGGAUUCAUAGUAUUAAGUGGUUUUUUUAAAAGAAGGCUUAGAACUGGAAAAGGUUAAUUGGAACUGAACCAAAUGGUAUCUCGGGGCGCUUUAAUGGGCAGAAAAAGGAGAUACCAUUGCUGAGAAACCUGGCGGGGAAGUUUGCCCGACACCCUUUGCCCUACGCAGCCUAUUUGGCAGAGAGGCAGUUCUCCAAAUGACCGACAGAUGGCGUUAAACCUUCACUGUAGCUUUCCUGUUCUCCCCAAGACCUGCCAGGAACCGAGGACUGAAGAAUGCAGAACUGGUGAAUGCGAAGCACUGGGAUUGGCAGUUGGGUGAAUCUGCAAAUGCAGAACUGGACGUGGAGGGCUGUUUGGACCUGCAGGAGCCCACCAGUUGGACUCAAAGAAACUGGUCACGUGGGGACUUGAAGAAUUGUGGAGUACAGAUUCUCUCUAAAGGGAUGGAUGCAAUGGGGUUCCAGCAGAUUGUUGCCAUGUGGAAUGCAAAUCCAGGAUCACUGGGUCUUCUGACUUCUCAAGAGAUACUUCAAAUACAGAUUUUAUAUGAAAUCUGAAUUUUAAAUGCUGGCAACUAAUUACAUUUAAACAGUGUUUGUGGGCCAAACAAAGAACAUGUGCUUGUGCAUAUGAUGUCUUGAAACCAGCUUGCAGCCCUCAGGGACUUGUGGGGUGGACGUGUGCCUCUUUCCUAAGUAAUUACCCAUGGGGGGGAAAUAUGUAAUCAUUUUGGAAUUGCUAUUGAACCAGUGCAAGUUCAUCAACUCAGCUCUAUAAAU